AUUCUGAGGAAGUCCUAUAGCCUGUGUUAUAGAUGAUCAGUGGUUCCUUCUGGCCUUGGAAUCAUGAAAAUGAGGGUCAUAUAACUGUUGAAACAUGCCUGCAUUAAUUAAGGAGUUUUGCAUGUGACUGAGGGCAUCUGGCCCUAACUAUGUUAAAUAGCAUGAAGCGUGUGAUUUAAACCUACAAAAUUCAAGAAAUUCAGCUAAGGAUGCUGCCCACUCAUACACGAUUCAGAUUCAGUAGGAGGCAGGAUGCUCUUUACUCUUCAGCAACCAGUCUGGAGAACAGAGAAGGAAGACAGCAGCAGUAUAUGAACUUGGGGACUUUGCAUCUGCUGCUUGGACUACACGUGAGGUGCUAUUGCCAGGAGAAUAGAGCUGAGAUGUGAGCAUCGGAAUGAACAGGGUCUGCUCUCCUAAAUUUCCAGUUCCUGAGGCCUAUCAAACAACUAGUGUGAGGGGCAGUGCCUGCUACCUGCUUCAGGAACACCCUGGGUGGGAACUGGGCCUGGUGGCUGCUCCUGGAAUAUCCCAUAGAUGUCGUAAAAGUCAAGAGAUCAUAACACCUGGUGCUUCAUCUUAUUAAAUGAGCAAGAAUAUAUGAAAAACAGAACUUCAAGAUAUUGUAGAGUAAGUACAAAAAUAAAGUACAAUUUCCUAGCCA
rnacentral:lncRNA from 1 species